ACACACCUUUGUGUGUUCUGUGGAUCGACCAGAGCAAAAAGGGGCCAAGGAGAAACCCUAAGUUCAUAAAAUUCUCAAAAUCAGAAGGAGUUUAAGAGCCCAAAGGGAUGCAUGAACCCAAAACUCGAAUAAUCUAAGCUUGUUCAACGAUUGGUGUUAAGGAAGAAAGUUCAAGUCAAGCGAAGCAACAAGGGAAUCAAGAUCGAGUUUUAGGUAAAACUCAAGUUUAGGUGGUUAUGCUUCGCUUGGAUCGAACACACUUUGAACGUCGUUCAUGCACUUCCGCAAAUUUUGUAAAACAUGUAAAAGGGUCAAAACCCUUUUGUUAAAUGGCUUAUGUUUAGUAGUUGAAUUUUAAACUUAAACAUGUUUUGUUAUUUUGUAAAUUCUAGAAUGUAGUAUAACUUUAUUAUAAUUACGGUUAUGUUAUGUUUUA